GUGCUUACUUAGGCAGCACAUAUACUAAAGUUGGAAUGAUACAGAGAAGAUUGCCAUGGCCCCUGUGCAAGGAUGACAUGCAAAUGGAUGACAAGCAUUCCAUAUUUUU
rnacentral:snRNA from 1 species